rnacentral:rRNA from 1 species
GACGCUGGCGGCGUGCUUAACACAUGCAAGUCGAACGGUAAGGCCCUUCGGGGUACACGAGUGGCGAACGGGUGAGUAACACGUGGGUGAUCUGCCCUGCACUUCGGGAUAAGCCUGGGAAACUGGGUCUAAUACCGGAUAGGACCAUGGACUUCACGGUUUGUGGUGGAAAGCUUUUGCGGUGUGGGAUGGGCCCGCGGCCUAUCAGCUUGUUGGUGGGGUAAUGGCCUACCAAGGCGACGACGGGUAGCCGGCCUGAGAGGGUGUCCGGCCACACUGGGACUGAGAUACGGCCCAGACUCCUACGGGAGGCAGCAGUGGGGAAUAUUGCACAAUGGGCGCAAGCCUGAUGCAGCGACGCCGCGUGAGGGAUGACGGCCUUCGGGUUGUAAACCUCCUUCAAUAGGGACGAAGCGCAAGUGACGGUACCUAUAGAAGAAGCACCGGCCAACUACGUG